rnacentral:miRNA from 12 species
CGCCUGAUACUUGCUUUAACCU